rnacentral:rRNA from 1 species
CGAAAGCCUGACGGAGCAAUACCGCGUGAGGGAGGAAGGCUCUUGGGUUGUAAACCUCUUUUCUUAGGGAAGAAUACUGACGGUACCUAAGGAAUAAGCAUCGGCUAACUCCGUGCCAGCAGCCGCGGUAAUACGGAGGAUGCAAGCGUUAUCCGGAUUUAUUGGGCGUAAAGCGUUCGCAGGUGGCAUUUCAAGUCUGCUGUUAAAGCACGUGGCUUAACCACGUAAAGGCGGUGGAAACUGAGAAGCUAGAGUGCGGUAGGGGCAGAGGGAAUUCCUGGUGUAGCGGUGAAAUGCGUAGAGAUCAGGAAGAACACCGGUGGCGAAAGCGCUCUGCUAGGCCUGCACUGACACUGAGGGACGAAAGCUA